rnacentral:rRNA from 1 species
UUAAGCGACUAAGCGUACACGGUGGAUGCCCUGGCAGUCAGAGGCGAUGAAGGACGUGCUAAUCUGCGAUAAGCGUCGGUAAGGUGAUAUGAACCGUUAUAACCGGCGAUUUCCGAAUGGGGAAACCCAGUGUGAUUCGUCACACUAUCAUUAACUGAAUCCAUAGGUUAAUGAGGCGAACCGGGGGAACUGAAACAUCUAAGUACCCCGAGGAAAAGAAAUCAACCGAGAUUCCCCCAGUAGCGGCGAGCGAACGGGGAGGAGCCCAGAGCCUGAAUCAGUGUGUGUGUUAGUGGAAGCGUCUGGAAAGGCGCGCGAUACAGGGUGACAGCCCCGUACACAAAAAUGCACAUGCUGUGAGCUCGAUGAGUAGGGCGGGACACGUGGUAUCCUGUCUGAAUAUGGGGGGACCAUCCUCCAAGGCUAAAUACUCCUGACUGACCGAUAGUGAACCAGUACCGUGAGGGAAAGGCGAAAAGAACCCCGGCGAGGGGAGUGAAAAAGAACCUGAAACCGUGUACGUACAAGCAGUGGGAGCACGCUUAGGCGUGUGACUGCGUACCUUUUGUAUAAUGGGUCAGCGACUUAUAUUCUGUAGCAAGGUUAACCGAAUAGGGGAGCCGAAGGGAAACCGAGUCUUAACUGGGCGUUAAGUUGCAGGGUAUAGACCCGAAACCCGGUGAUCUAGCCAUGGGCAGGUUGAAGGUUGGGUAACACUAACUGGAGGACCGAACCGACUAAUGUUGAAAAAUUAGCGGAUGACUUGUGGCUGGGGGUGAAAGGCCAAUCAAACCGGGAGAUAGCUGGUUCUCCCCGAAAGCUAUUUAGGUAGCGCCUCGUGAAUUCAUCUCCGGGGGUAGAGCACUGUUUCGGCAAGGGGGUCAUCCCGACUUACCAACCCGAUGCAAACUGCGAAUACCGGAGAAUGUUAUCACGGGAGACACACGGCGGGUGCUAACGUCCGUCGUGAAGAGGGAAACAACCCAGACCGCCAGCUAAGGUCCCAAAGUCAUGGUUAAGUGGGAAACGAUGUGGGAAGGCCCAGACAGCCAGGAUGUUGGCUUAGAAGCAGCCAUCAUUUAAAGAAAGCGUAAUAGCUCACUGGUCGAGUCGGCCUGCGCGGAAGAUGUAACGGGGCUAAACCAUGCGCCGAAGCUGCGGCAGCGACGCUUAUGCGUUGUUGGGUAGGGGAGCGUUCUGUAAGCCUGUGAAGGUGUGCUGUGAGGCAUGCUGGAGGUAUCAGAAGUGCGAAUGCUGACAUAAGUAACGAUAAAGCGGGUGAAAAGCCCGCUCGCCGGAAGACCAAGGGUUCCUGUCCAACGUUAAUCGGGGCAGGGUGAGUCGACCCCUAAGGCGAGGCCGAAAGGCGUAGUCGAUGGGAAACAGGUUAAUAUUCCUGUACUUGGUGUUACUGCGAAGGGGGGACGGAGAAGGCUAUGUUGGCCGGGCGACGGUUGUCCCGGUUUAAGCGUGUAGGCUGGUUUUCCAGGCAAAUCCGGAAAAUCAAGGCUGAGGCGUGAUGACGAGGCACUACGGUGCUGAAGCAACAAAUGCCCUGCUUCCAGGAAAAGCCUCUAAGCAUCAGGUAACAUCAAAUCGUACCCCAAACCGACACAGGUGGUCAGGUAGAGAAUACCAAGGCGCUUGAGAGAACUCGGGUGAAGGAACUAGGCAAAAUGGUGCCGUAACUUCGGGAGAAGGCACGCUGAUAUGUAGGUGAAGUCCCUCGCGGAUGGAGCUGAAAUCAGUCGAAGAUACCAGCUGGCUGCAACUGUUUAUUAAAAACACAGCACUGUGCAAACACGAAAGUGGACGUAUACGGUGUGACGCCUGCCCGGUGCCGGAAGGUUAAUUGAUGGGGUUAGCCGCAAGGCGAAGCUCUUGAUCGAAGCCCCGGUAAACGGCGGCCGUAACUAUAACGGUCCUAAGGUAGCGAAAUUCCUUGUCGGGUAAGUUCCGACCUGCACGAAUGGCGUAAUGAUGGCCAGGCUGUCUCCACCCGAGACUCAGUGAAAUUGAACUCGCUGUGAAGAUGCAGUGUACCCGCGGCAAGACGGAAAGACCCCGUGAACCUUUACUAUAGCUUGACACUGAACAUUGAGCCUUGAUGUGUAGGAUAGGUGGGAGGCUUUGAAGUGUGGACGCCAGUCUGCAUGGAGCCGACCUUGAAAUACCACCCUUUAAUGUUUGAUGUUCUAACGUUGACCCGUAAUCCGGGUUGCGGACAGUGUCUGGUGGGUAGUUUGACUGGGGCGGUCUCCUCCUAAAGAGUAACGGAGGAGCACGAAGGUUGGCUAAUCCUGGUCGGACAUCAGGAGGUUAGUGCAAUGGCAUAAGCCAGCUUGACUGCGAGCGUGACGGCGCGAGCAGGUGCGAAAGCAGGUCAUAGUGAUCCGGUGGUUCUGAAUGGAAGGGCCAUCGCUCAACGGAUAAAAGGUACUCCGGGGAUAACAGGCUGAUACCGCCCAAGAGUUCAUAUCGACGGCGGUGUUUGGCACCUCGAUGUCGGCUCAUCACAUCCUGGGGCUGAAGUAGGUCCCAAGGGUAUGGCUGUUCGCCAUUUAAAGUGGUACGCGAGCUGGGUUUAGAACGUCGUGAGACAGUUCGGUCCCUAUCUGCCGUGGGCGCUGGAGAACUGAGGGGGGCUGCUCCUAGUACGAGAGGACCGGAGUGGACGCAUCACUGGUGUUCGGGUUGUCAUGCCAAUGGCACUGCCCGGUAGCUAAAUGCGGAAGAGAUAAGUGCUGAAAGCAUCUAAGCACGAAACUUGCCCCGAGAUGAGUUCUCCCUGACUCCUUGAGAGUCCUGAAGGAACGUUGAAGACGACGACGUUGAUAGGCCGGGUGUGUAAGCGCAGCGAUGCGUUGAGCUAACCGGUACUAAUGAACCGUGAGGCUUAACCUU